GACAGGGGGUGCAAGCGUUGCUCGGAAUCAUUGGGCGUAAAGCGCACGUAGGCGGUCUCGUAAGUCGGGUGUGAAAGCCCUCAGCCUAACUGAGGAACUGCGCCCGAUACUGCAAGGCUAGAGGAUGGGAGGGGAGAGUGGAAUUCCUGGUGGAGCGGUGAAAUGCGUAGAUAUCAGGAGGAAUACCAGUGGCGAAGGCGACUCUCUGGUCCAUUCCUGACGCUGAGGUGCGAGAGCUAGGGGAGCAAACGGGAUUAGAUACCCCGGUAGUCCUAGCUGUAAACGAUGGGCACUGGGUAGAGGAACUCUUAUGUGUUUCUCUGCCGGAGCUAACGCGUUAAGUGCCCCGCCUGGGGAGUAUGCUCGCAAGGGUAAA
rnacentral:rRNA from 1 species